AUGUAUUUCCGAAUUGAUUCGAGGCCCAGGUCGUCGUGUAGAUCAACGUUCCUCACGAACCACGGUGCUCCGACGGCUAACCUGCAAAAGCAGGAUUGUAGGGAUUGGAGGGUGUCUAUGUGUGUGCGGGCCGCGUGAGCGAACACCACACUCACGACAAAACCACCGGAUCCCCGCUCGUCCGCGGGUUGGGUGUAUAUGGGAUUUGAACCUCAAAAACUCCUGCCGCUCACAGCCAGCGCCCGACUCCGAACAGUCGGGGCCAUUGAGACGGCGGAAGCUACGGCCUGUGGGGUUUCCUAACCCACCCUGACUUACACACAUUUAACUUUCACACGAGUACAUCUCAACUAUUGUUGGACAAUAUCUUAAAAGCGCCUCUUAAUACCCUCACUAUCAUUGACCUAAUUUGAAAUCACUGUGAUCGAAAAGUGUUUUUUAUUUAAUUUGAAAAAAUAAUUCACUAGCAUAGCCUUAAAUUUAUACACUAGCCCUUCUGUGAACGUAUUUACAUCUGAAUCUUUCCUAUUUUUCGUAUUUCAAACAUCAUUUGAGCUGUAUUUAUCAUUUAUUCAAUAACAAAAUUUAAAACUGUCCAA